rnacentral:rRNA from 1 species
CCUGCGCCGAAAAUGUACCGGGGCUAAACUGAACACCGAAGCUGUGGAUGUCUAAGGACAUGGUAGGAGAGCGUUCUAAGGACGGCGAAGCAUGAUCGUGAGGACAUGUGGAGUGCUUAGAAGUGAGAAUGCCGGUAUGAGUAGCGAAAGACGGGUGAGAAUCCCGUCCACCGAAUAACUAAGGUUUCCUGGGGAAGGCUCGUCCUCCCAGGGUUAGUCGGGACCUAAGCCGAGACCGAAAGGUGUAGGCGAUGGCCAACAGGUUGAGAUUCCUGUACUUGUCUGAUUUGUUUGAGCAAUGGAAGGACACAGGAGGCUAAGCAGAGCGCGGAGAUGGAAAAACGCGUCCAAGCAACAAGUCUGAUGUUGAGUAAAAGGCUUAACAUCCUAAGGAUGAGUUGUGACGGGGAGGGAAGUUUAGUACCGAAGCUGCUGAUGUCACACUGUCAAGAAAAGUUUCUAGUGAGAAUCAGACAACCCGUACCGCAAACCGACACAGGUAGUUGAGGAGAGAAUCCUAAGGUGAGCGAGCGAACUCUCGUUAAGGAACUCGGCAAAAUGACCCCGUAACUUCGGGAGAAGGGGUGCUGGCCGU